AACGAACGCUAGCGGUAGGCUUAACACAUGCAAGUCGAACGUCUGGAGUCUUCACCUUUCGGGGUGGAGACUCCUAGCGUGGCAGACGGGUGCGUAACGCGUGGGAACUUACCUGAUAGUAGGGGAUAACCAGUGGAAACACUGAACAAAACCCUAUACGCCCUCCGGGGGAAAAAUUUAUUGCUAUCAGAUAGGCCCGCGUUAGAUUAGCUAGUUGGUGGGGUAAUGGCCUACCAAGGCGACGAUCUAUAGCUGAUCUGAGAGGAUGAUCAGCCACACUGGAACUGAGACACGGUCCAGACUCCUACGGGAGGCAGCAGUGAGGAAUAUUGGACAAUGGGCGAAAGCCUGAUCCAGCCAUACCGCAUGAGUGAUGAAGGCCCUUGGGUUGUAAAGCUCUUUUAGUGGGGAAGAUAAUGACGGUACCCACAGAAGAAGUCCCGGCUAACUCCGUGCCAGCAGCCGCGGUAAUAC
rnacentral:rRNA from 1 species